GUGGCGAAAGCAUUUCUUCAUUAAAGUGCUGUUAAAUUCCUCCUUACAGGUAGGUUGAGUCUCUAAGGGAUGGUUACUUCUUAAAAAGAUGAGGUGUAGAUGUUUUCACCAUUGUAUCCUCAGUCUGAUGAAAAUAAUGCCUUUCAAAAUCGGCGUUUUGCGUACAGGACAAGGAGUGCAUCUCUGUCAGUGCCAAUGAACUCUAUGGAUUCAUUUGGAAAUGAUAGUAUCUUGGUAGGCUAUAGUGGUUCUUUGAAAAUCGAGAGACAAACUUCGUUGGUUCACAUGUGAUACGAGUACGAUCAUGACCUUGGACACUUUUUGAGUAUUUUGAAGACCACUUAGAAGAGUGCAUAAGCCCAAGUGUGAAGGAGGCCCAAAACCAUCCUUUUGGUGCACUUAAGGGGCUGCUUUUGGAGCCCUUUCAUGAAAGGGCUUUUUUGUCAUUUCUUUAUUAUUUGUAAUGUUGUAUAAAUAGAACCUUGUAGGAUUUAUUUCCUUAGUUUUUGAAUGUUAUUGAAAGAAACUCCUCUAGAGAGAGUGAGAGCAACCGUAACUAGGGUGAUACUAGUGUGGAAUCACUGGUGUUGCAAAACGUUGUUAGAAACCUUGGUGCUUUAGAGGUGGACGCCCUCUUGUGUCAUCGUGGAGUGUUGGUGUUGAUAUUAGGAGUGUUAAGGGUCUUGGUAUUGAAUAUAUACCUUGGUUCUUAUUGUUUGUAAUAUUGUAUGUCACAGUUCCUAUCUUUUGUUCCUGUAAUCAUUGUACUAGUUUGUAGUUGUUUCUAGUGAAGCCGUGUGUUGUUGUUACAUUGUUCUUGUGUUCCAGUCCUAUUGUUAUCAUCUCGUUCUUCUGGUGUAGCUGCGGUUUUGGUGUUGAACACCUAGUAAUCUUGGGUUCUUGAGUUGUCAGCUUGUAGCUGUUUGGUCUCUUGUACCUUGUGGACUGUUUUGUGCGAUUUGUGGGCUGUUUUGGUGUCUUUCCUUGGUCGUUUUGUAUCAUUUGGUAUCAAAGCAAGGUUUAAUUUUGUUCCAACAAAAUCAAUCUUGGGAUUGUUAUAUUGAAAAUAAAAAAAAAAGGGUGAAAAAGAAGAAAACGAAAAAAGUUAUUGUUCACGUUUUUAGGGUUUUCGAAAAAACUUGAUUUUUGUGUGUUUUGUGUGUUUCUAGUGUUAGAUCCUUGUUCCCUAAUACUAUUAGAGUUUAUAAAUUGAAAAUCCCAACAAAAAAGAAGUGUCAAGAUCGAAAAUCCACCAAUAAAAUACUAAACCCAUUUUUGACCCUAGGUCAAAGUUUGAGUUUUUGAUUUUUUUUUUCUUGUGUUUUUAGUGUUAGAUUUGUGUUCUCUAACACUAUAGUCUAUAGGAGUAUAGGGUUCUAAUUUGAGCUAAAGUAGAGGUUAUUUGAGCCAUCCACCAUUAUUGAGCUUGAGUUUGAAGAAACUUGAAGGUGGGAUCUCAUUGUGGGAGUUUGUUUUGAACUAACGUGUUUUUUAUUUUGUAGGAUUUGUAUUGUAUUGUUGUGUGUGACGUUGUGGACUGAUUGGGUGUCUUGUUGAACCGUAACUUGAGUGGUUAUUUUCGGUACAACCACAAUGGAACCCGAGGCUUCAAAUGCUCAAACAAUGGACAAUAAUGCCAUCAAUCUCAUUUUGGCUCGCCUUGAAACUAUGUCCCGAGAUGUGGCUAGGUUGAAUGUGUCUUGAGAAACUAGAUACGGAUGUGGCAUCAGAAAUCCAAAGGAGUCGACCUUCUACCCCUCAAAAAAGUUCCCCAACUAAUACUCCCGAGACCUUGCACCAAAUGCUAUAUCCACCAAUUGCCACAAAUCCAACCAAUCUUUAAUCCCGAAGCCGAAGCCGAGAACAAGAUAGACCAAACCAUCCUCCACUCCACCAAGUCCAACAAGAAAGGUUGGAACCCAAAUACCACCACCAAACCCGAACCCUCUUAUCCAAACUCCACUUGACCAAAGACCUCACUAUCCAAAUCCAAUCCCGCCACUAUAAGCUCCACUUAACCCAAAUAGACCCUUCUAUGUUGAAGGCUAUGUUAGGGGAGGACAACAUGAUGGUUAUGGGUUGUAUGAUGAUGUUUACUUGAGGGAAGGAAGAAUGAAGGGUAAACAUGGGGAGUUAGGCCGAGAGAUGAGAGAUGGCUAUCCAAAUCGAGAUGUAGGUCUCAAUUCCAUCAAAGUGAGCCUUCCCGUUUUCAAAGGUGAGAGUGAUCCCGAAGCCUACCUUGCAUGGAAGUCGUCUUAUGACAAGAUCUUCCAACUUAAUGAUCUCACCGAAGAAAAGAAAUGUUGCUAUGCUAUAGCUUACUUCGAAGCGUAUGCUAAUACAUGGUGGGAGUAUUUUAAACGGUUUGGGAAUGAGAUGAUUGGGGGACAAGCUCCUCCUUGGUUUCGGUUGAAGAACCUUAUGCGGCAAAGAUACUUGCCCGAGACUUAUAGACAUGAGCUCCUUGCCAAAUUGUACAAUUUGAGGCAAGGGAGCAAGAGUGUCAUGGCUUACUACGACGAAUUUCAACAAUUGAUGUUGAAACUAGAUCACCGGGGAGAACAAGUGAGUCAUGACAUCGUGCGCUUCAAAGUCGAGUUGAACAAGGACAUCUCCACUCAUAUGACACUUCAUAAGUUCGACACCAUUGAUGGCAUCUUCCAAGCGGCAUUGGAGGUUGAAAGGGAGCUCAAAAAGAGCUUAUCCAUGGUUGUCCAAACUGAGAGCAUCAAGGCUGCCCCAAAACAGUCCACUAGGUAUGAAGGUAAACCAAUUUCAACUUCCAAUUCUAAGGGAUUUCAAUGCUUCAAAUGCCAAGGGUGGGGGUACAAGGCUAGUGAGUGCCCAAACCGGAGGAACGUGAUCCUAAGGGAGGGAAAAUUAUACUAUCUUGGGGAAGAAGUAGUAAUUGAAUCAGCUAAGGUUGAUGGGAAGCCUCAAGAUAGAGAGCAAGAAGAGGUUAAAAUGCAAAGCGGGGAAGAUGUAGAAGAUGUGUGGCCGUGUGAAGGAGAUUGUGAAGUGCCAUUGUAAAAGAGGUGAGGUCAUGAAUUUGUAGGCAAAUUCCUAUCAAGAUGGAGAGGAUGAUACGAGUACUAUCAUGACCUUGGAAACUUUUUGAGUAUUUUGGAAACCACUUAGAAGAGUGCAUAAGUCCAAGUGUGAAGGAGGCCCAAAACCAUCCUUUUGGUGCACUUAAGGGGCUGCUUUUGGAGCCCUUUAAUGAAAGGGUUCUUUUGUUAUUUCUCUAUUAUUUGUAAUGUUGUAUAAAUAGAACUUUCUAGGGUUUAUUUCCUUAGUUUUUGAUUAUUAUUGAAAGAAACUCCUUUAGAGAGAGUGAGAGCAACCGUAAUUAGGGUGAUACUAGUGUGGAAUCACUAGUGUUGCAAAACGUUGUUAUAAACCUUGGUGCUUUAGAGGUGGACGCCCUCUUGUGUCAUCGUAGAGUGUUGGAAUUGAUAUUACAAGUGUUAAGGGUCUUGGUAUUGAAUAUAUACCUUGGUUCUUAUUGUUUGUAAUAUUGUAUGUCAUACUUCCUAUCUUUUGUUCCUGUAAUAGUUGUACUAGUUUGUAGUUGUUUCUAGUGAAGCUGUGUGGUGUUGUUACAUUGUUCUUGUGUUCCAGUCCUAUUGUUAUCAUCUUGUUCUUCUGGUGUAGUAGCUGUUGUUUUGGUGUUGAACACCUAGUAAUCUUGGGUUCUUGAGUUGUCAUCUUAUAGCCGUUUGGUCUCUUGUACCUUGUGGACUGUUUUGUGCGAUUUGUGGGCUGUUUUGGUGUCUUUCCUU
rnacentral:lncRNA from 1 species